GACGAACGCUGGCGGCGUGCUUAACACAUGCAAGUCGAACGCUGAAGCUCUGCCCUUGUGGUGGGGUGGAUGAGUGGCGAACGGGUGAGUAACACGUGGGUAAUCUGCCCCAUACUCUGGGAUAACCCCUGGAAACGGGGGCUAAUACCGGAUAGGACAUUCUGCCGCAUGGUGGGGUGUGGAAAGUUCCGGCGGUAUGGGAUGGGCCCGCGGCCUAUCAGCUUGUUGGUGGGGUAAUGGCCUACCAAGGCGACGACGGGUAGCCGGCCUGAGAGGGUGGACGGCCACACUGGGACUGAGAACGGCCCAGACUCCUACGGGAGGCAGCAGUGGGGAAUAUUGCGCAGUGGGGGAAACCCUGACGCAGCGACGCCGCGUGAGCGAAGAAGGCCUUCGGGUUGUAAAGCUCUGUUGUAAGGGACGAAAGAUCAAGGGAAUAACUGCCCUUGAAGUGACGGUACCUUACCA
rnacentral:rRNA from 1 species